rnacentral:rRNA from 1 species
ACUCCUACGGGAGGCAGCAGUGGGGAAUAUUGCACAAUGGGGGAAACCCUGAUGCAGCCAUGCCGCGUGUGUGAAGAAGGCCUUCGGGUUGUAAAGCACUUUCAGUAGGGAGGAAGGUAGUGUAGUUAACACCUGCACUAUUUGACGUUACCUACAGAAGAAGCACCGGCUAACUCCGUGCCAGCAGCCGCGGUAAUACGGAGGGUGCGAGCGUUAAUCGGAAUUACUGGGCGUAAAGCGCAUGCAGGCGGCCUGUUAAGUCAGAUGUGAAAGCCCGGGGCUUAACCUCGGAAUUGCAUUUGAAACUGGCAGGCUAGAGUCUUGUAGAGGGGGGUAGAAUUUCAGGUGUAGCGGUGAAAUGCGUAGAGAUCUGAAGGAAUACCAGUGGCGAAGGCGGCCCCCUGGGACAAAGACUGACGCUCAGAUGCGAAAGCGUGGGGAGCAAACAGGAUUAGAUACCCU